GGUGAAAAGCACCCCGGAAGGGGAGUGAAAUAGAACCUGAAACCGUGUGCUUACAAGUAGUCAGAGCCCGUUAAUGGGUGAUGGCGUGCCUUUUGUAGAAUGAACCGGCGAGUUACGAUUUGAUGCAAGGUUAAGCAGUAAAUGUGGAGCCGUAGCGAAAGCGAGUCUGAAUAGGGCGUUUAGUAUUUGGUCGUAGACCCGAAACCAGGUGAUCUACCCUUGGUCAGGUUGAAGUUCAGGUAACACUGAAUGGAGGACCGAACCGACUUACGUUGAAAAGUGAGCGGAUGAACUGAGGGUAGCGGAGAAAUUCCAAUCGAACCUGGAGAUAGCUGGUUCUCUCCGAAAUAGCUUUAGGGCUAGCCUCAAGUGAUGAUUAUUGGAGGUAGAGCACUGUUUGGACGAGGGGCCCCUCUCGGGUUACCGAAUUCAGACAAACUCCGAAUGCCAAUUAAUUUAACUUGGGAGUCAGAACAUGGGUGAUAAGGUCCGUGUUCGAAAGGGAAACAGCCCAGACCACCAGCUAAGGUCCCAAAAUAUAUGUUAAGUGGAAAAGGAUGUGGCGUUGCCCAGACAACUAGGAUGUUGGCUUAGAAGCAGCCAUCAUUUAAAGAGUGCGUAAUAGCUCACUAGUCGAGUGACACUGCGCCGAAAAUGUACCGGGGCUAAACAUAUUACCGAAGCUGUGGAUUGUCCUUUGGACAAUGGUAGGAGAGCGUUCUAAGGGCGUUGAAGCAUGAUCGUAAGGACAUGUGGAGCGCUUAGAAGUGAGAAUGCCGGUGUGAGUAGCGAAAGAC
rnacentral:rRNA from 1 species